rnacentral:rRNA from 1 species
GAUGAACGCUGGCGGCGUGCUUAACACAUGCAAGUCGAACGGUGAACACGGAGCUUGCUCUGUGGGAUCAGUGGCGAACGGGUGAGUAACACGUGAGCAACCUGCCCCUGACUCUGGGAUAAGCGCUGGAAACGGCGUCUAAUACUGGAUACGAGUAGCGGCCGCAUGGUCAGUUACUGGAAAGAUUUUUUGGUUGGGGAUGGGCUCGCGGCCUAUCAGCUUGUUGGUGAGGUAAUGGCUCACCAAGGCGUCGACGGGUAGCCGGCCUGAGAGGGUGACGUGCCACACUGGGACGGAGACACGGCCGAGACUCCUACGGGAGGCAGCAGUGGGGAAUAUUGCACAAUGGGCGAAAGCCUGAUUCAGCAACGCCGCGUGAGGGAUGACGGCCUUCGGGUUGUAAACCUCUUUUAGCAGGGAAGAAGCGAAAGUGACGGUACCUGCAGAAAAAGCGCCGGCUAACUACGUGCCAGCAGCCGCCGUAA